AGUCACUCCUCCAUCAGCUGAGACAUAAGUCACUUUCCUCUCAUCCCAUCCCAGAACCGAGACCGACCUCCAGCACCACACAUGGGCGCUGGAAUGUUUUCAUUUCCGGGAUAAAGAGCCGCCUUCGGAAUUCCAACUAUUGUCUCUGGUUGGUGGAUUUUAUCUUCAGGAAGGUAGAGAACCCGGCCACCUCCGAACACUAUGGAUGAGGAUUCUGUUCAGCUGGAAUAGAUGUUCAUCAUUUGGUCUGGAUACAAGUCCUUCCCCCUCCCGGGGUCUGGAUGAGAGAAGAUCCUCAUUCUUAGAUCCCAGAUCCUCAUUAAUAGAUCCCAGAUCCUCAUUAUUAGAUCUAGAUCCUCAUUAUUAGAUCCUCAUUAUUAGAUCCCAGAUCCUCAUUAUUAGAUCCCAGAUCCUCAUUAUUAGAUCCCAGAUCCUCAUUAUUAGAUCCUCAUUAUUAGAUCCCAGAUCCUCAUUAUUAGAUCCUCAUUAUUCGAUCCCAGAUCCUCAUUAUUAGAUCCCAGAUCCUCAUGAAUAGAUCCCAGAUCCUCAUUAUUAGAUCCCAGAUCCUCAUUAUUAGAUCCUAGAUCCUCAUUAUUAGAUCCUAGAUCCUCAUUAUUCGAUCCCAGAUCCUUAUUAUUCUAUCCCAGAUCCUCAUUAUUAGAUCCCAGAUCUUGAACUCCCUCAUUGGUGCUUCUCCUGCAGAUGAAGACUUCCUCUGAUGAGACAUUGAUGUGAAUUAUUCCAGAACAUCCGGUGACGUGGACAGUCAUGGCUCUUGUCCUUCAUAUUCUCUCCUGCUUGCUUGGUUUGGGCUCCUGGGUUGCCAUCAAUGGGGUAUGGGUGGAGUUGCCCCUGUUGGUGCCUCAGGCACCGGAAGGUUGGGAGUUACCCUCUUACUUGUCUCUUCUUAUCCAGUUUGCCAAUAUUGGGCCCCUGGCGGUCACACUGACUCACAAGUUUCGCCCAGGGUGGCUCCGGGAGGGACCGGUCAUAUUUGUCCUGUUAGGGGUGGGGGUCGUGUCCUGUGUGCUCCUGGCAUUUCUGUGGCAGAAGACCAGCUGGGUCGGAGGAACGCGGAGGAGUACGGCGCUGCUCUCCCUGAUCUUCUUCCUGUCCUUGGUGGACUGCACCUCUUCGGUCACCUUCCUUCCAUACAUGACCCGUCUCCGGCCUGACUACCUGGUCUCGUAUUUCAUUGGAGAAGGACUAAGUGGCUUGAUGCCGGCACUCCUGGCCCUGGCACAAGGCGUCGGGGUUUUGAGCUGUGAGCCGGUGAACAUCACUGAGGCCAAUGGGUCCUUUGUCUUUGGAAAUCUCACAGCCGUUUACCAGCCGGCCAGGUUUCCGGCCUGGGGCUUCUUCUUGUUCUUGGCCGGUAUGAUGGGCAUCUGUCUGAUAGCGUUUACCAUCCUUCACACCUUGCCCGACACACGCAACCACAGGCACCAGGAGGCGCUAAAGAAGCGGAAAAGAGAUGAGGUGGAGUCCUGGGGAAAGGGGGUGGAGCAACGACCGAUGAUGGAAGAAGAGGUCACCGCAGUGAAGAAGGAAAGAUAUUCCCGGUGUGAGAAGAUCUUCAUCUUCCUGGUCCUGGCCUGGGUCAACGCAUUGACCAACGCGGUACUGCCCGCGGUCCAGACCUACUCCUGCAUGCCAUACGGAGGGCACAUCUACCAUCUGGCUGCCACCCUUGCCUCCAUGGCAAACCCACUGGCCUGUGGCAUAGCCAUGUGUCUGCCCAACAGGUCUCUGGUGGCUGUCGGUGUGCUGUCAUUGGUCGGUUCCAUCAUGGGCGGGUACAUUAUGGGUAUAGCAGUGCUGAGUCCCUGCCCACCUCUUCUACACAGCGCCAUCGGGGGAGCGCUCAUGGUCGCGUCCUGGGUGCUGUUUGUUGGGAUCCUCUCCUACGUGAAGGUGGUUAUCGGAAUGAUUCUACGGGAUGAAGGACACAGCGCCCUCGUCUGGUGUGGUGCGGUGGUGCAGCUGGGCUCGAUGGUGGGGGCCCUGACUAUGUUCCCCGUGGUCAAUGUGUACUCCUUCUUCCAGUCCGGUGACCCCUGCGUGGACAACUGCCCCCAAUAGCUUCCCAGGAGGAUCCCCCUAUACCUGCAGAUAAUACUGAGAGAUACAAUGAUGGGAGGAGUCAGAAUAAAUGAUGGAGGGAGUCAGAGGAAAAAGGGGGAGGAGUCAAAAAAUAACUAUAGCCGUCAGAAUAAUGGGAGGCAUCAAAGAGAAUAAUGGGAGGAUUCAGAGAGAAUAAUGGGAAGAUUCAGAGAGAAUGAGGGGAGGAGUAAUAGAGAAUGAUAGAGGUCAAGAAGAAUGAUGGGAGGAGUCAUAGAGAAUAAUGGGAGGAUUCAGAGAGAAUGAGGGGAGGAGUAAUAGAGAAUGAUAGGGGUCAAGAAGAAUGAUGGGAGGAGUCAUAGAGAAUAAUGGGAGGAGUCAGAGAGAAUGAGGGGAGGAGUAAUAGAGAAUGAUAGGAGUCAAGAAGAAUAAUGGGAGGAGUCAUAGAGAAUAAUGGGAGGAUUCAGAGAGAAUGAGGGGAGGAGUAAUAGAGAAUGAUAGGGGUCAAGAAGAAUGAUGGGAGGCAUCAAAGAGAAUAAUGGGAGGAUUCAGGGAGAAUGACGGGAGGAGGAAUAGAGAAUGAUAGGGGUCAAGAAGAAUAAUGGGAGGAGUCAUAGAGAAUAAUGGGAGGAUUCAGAGAGAAUGACGGGAGGAGGAAUAGAGAAUGAUAGGGGUCAAGAAGAAUGAUGGGAGGAGUCAUAGAGAAUAAUGGGAGAAUGAUGGGAGGAGUAAUAGAGAAUGAUAGGGGUCAAGAAGAAUAAUGGGAGGAGUCAUAGAGAAUAAUGGGAGGAUUCAGAGAGAAUGAGGGGAGGAGUAAUAGAGAAUGAUAGGAGUCAAGAAGAAUGAUGGGAGGCAUCAAAGAGAAUAAUGGGAGGAUUCAGGGAGAAUGAUGGGAGGAGUAAUAGAGAAUGAUAGGGGUCAAGAAGAAUAAUGGGAGGAGUCAUAGAGAAUAAUGGGAGGAUUCAGAGAGAAUGACGGGAGGAGGAAUAGAGAAUGAUAGGGGU